rnacentral:rRNA from 1 species
GACGUAGGGGACGAGCGUUGUCCGGAUUCAUUGGGCGUAAAGGGCGUGUAGGCGGUCCGCUAAGUCUGAUGUGAAAGCCCGGGGCUCACCCCCGGAAGGGCAUUGGAAACUGACGGACUCGAGCCCCGAAGAGGAGGGUGGAAUUCCUGGUGUAGCGGUGAAAUGCGUAGAUAUCAGGAGGAACACCGGUGGCGAAGGCGGCCCUCUGGACGGUGACUGACGCUGAGACGCGAAAGCGUGGGGAGCAAACAGG